GAGUGUUGUGGAUUGUGUAAACUUUGAAGUGGGAUUGGUUAGGCCUCACUCAAAAUACUUUUCAAUAAUAAGUUUAAAUGGUGUCUUGUAUAUGAAAUCAUAUAAAAUAGCGGGGGAGUGUGAAAAGGAGGUACAAUAAUCCUAUAUUCUUAAUUUUACACCAGAUAAGCAAUAUAAAAACACACCUCACUUUAAGGCCGAGUGGUUUACCAUGAAUCAUCCAC
rnacentral:lncRNA from 1 species